AACGAACGCUGGCGGCAUGCCUAACACAUGCAAGUCGAACGAGACCUUCGGGUCUAGUGGCGCACGGGUGCGUAACGCGUGGGAACCUGCCUUUAGGUUCGGAAUAACUCAGAGAAAUUUGAGCUAAUACCGGAUAAUGUCUUCGGACCAAAGAUUUAUCGCCUUUAGAUGGGCCCGCGUUGGAUUAGCUAGUUGGUGGGUAAAGCCUACCAAGGCGACGAUCCAUAGCUGGUCUGAGAGGAUGAUCAGCCACACUGGGACUGAGACACGGCCCAGACUCCUACGGGAGGCAGCAGUGGGGAAUAUUGGACAAUGGGCGAAAGCCUGAUCCAGCAAUGCCGCGUGAGUGAUGAAGCCUUAGGUUGUAAAGCUCUUUUACCCGAGAUGAUAAU
rnacentral:rRNA from 1 species